UUGAUUUUCCGUCAAUUGCUCAGAGAUAUAUAGAAACAGAGUUAUAAUGGAGUUGGCUUCUGCCGGCGGGCCUGCCGUAGCUUCGACAACAAGGCCCCCGUCCCAGGGGGCGCCCACCGAGCCAACCAUGCUUUAUAGCGUAUCGUUUUCAAGGGGGUCUUCGAGCGUUUUAAGACUCGUCGAUAAUGAUCCCUCCGCUGGUUCACCAACGGAGA
rnacentral:misc_RNA from 1 species